rnacentral:rRNA from 2 species
UGCAAGUCGAGCGGAUCUUCAUUAGCUUGCUUUUGAAGAUCAGCGGCGGACGGGUGAGUAACACGUGGGCAACCUGCCUGUAAGACUGGGAUAACUUCGGGAAACCGGAGCUAAUACCGGAUAAUCCUUUCCCUCACAUGAGGGAAAGCUGAAAGACGGUUUCGGCUGUCACUUACAGAUGGGCCCGCGGCGCAUUAGCUAGUUGGUGAGGUAACGGCUCACCAAGGCAACGAUGCGUAGCCGACCUGAGAGGGUGAUCGGCCACACUGGGACUGAGACACGGCCCAGACUCCUACGGGAGGCAGCAGUAGGGAAUCUUCCGCAAUGGACGAAAGUCUGACGGAGCAACGCCGCGUGAACGAUGAAGGCUUUCGGGUCGUAAAGUUCUGUUGUCAGGGAAGAACAAGUACCGGAGUAACUGCCGGUACCUUGACGGUACCUGACCAGAAAGCCACGGCUAACUACGUGCCAGCAGCCGCGGUAAUACGUAGGUGGCAAGCGUUGUCCGGAAUUAUUGGGCGUAAAGCGCGCGCAGGCGGUUCCUUAAGUCUGAUGUGAAAGCCCCCGGCUCAACCGGGGAGGGUCAUUGGAAACUGGGGAACUUGAGUGCAGAAGAGGAGAGCGGAAUUCCACGUGUAGCGGUGAAAUGCGUAGAGAUGUGGAGGAACACCAGUGGCGAAGGCGGCUCUCUGGUCUGUAACUGACGCUGAGGCGCG